AGCCAUCGUCUCUAAACAAAUAGUCAAAUACUGUAGCCAUUUCAUUUCUUUCCGCAUCCAAAAUUCCCCCCAUUCUUAAACCCUAGAUCUAUCCGAACCAUCUUCUGCGGAUCUUUAUUUCAAUGGAUUAUUUCAAGUUUCUUCCUCCUGAGAUUACAGUAAACAUCUUAAGUCGAGUACCCACUGAAUCAAUACUUGAAUGUAAAUCGGUCAGCAAAUUUCUUAUCAUCCUUCGUUCUUCAUGAUGCACUCCCAUCAUCAACUCAAUCAUCCUUCUGCUAAGUCUGGUUUUAUUACUUUAACUAAAUUUGUUAUUGCAAAUCGUAUUCCAAAAUUUCAGUAUUUCGAGUACAGUAAUGAUCAAUCAGCAACUCCCAUUGAGAAAAUUACAAGGUAUAAUUUUUCCCUCCAAUUACUGGUGAUAUCAACUUUCAUGGUUCGUAUAAUGGUUUAAUCUGUUUCGCUAGAUCGAAAUGCUUAGGAGAAGAAUCUAUUUGUAUUUGUAACCCCAUUACCAAAGAGUAUGUUAUGCUUCCUAAAAUUAAUCCAGAUUCUGGUGGUAAGUAUGUUCGCUGGAGGAACGCAUUUGGUUAUGUUUCUUCAACCAAUGAGUAUAAAGUUGUGGGGGUACAGUUUAAGACCGAUUUUGUAGAAGUCCACAUAUACACAUUAGUCAGUGGAAAUGGAUGGAGAAACCUUGUAAAGCUGAAUUCUAAUUCUACCCAGAUUAUUGGCAACAACCAGUCUUUGUCAAUGGAGCAGUCUAUUGGAUGGGUAAACAGUUAGGAAAGAUCUUAACCUUCGAUUUGUCUGAGGAAAAGAUUGUUGAAAAUCUUUCACCACCUCCUCUGCCACCAUACAGUUGGAGUCGGACUGGUAAUAAAAUUGGGGUUUUGGAUGGGUUUUUGUCUUUUUCUGUCGAUGGAGCCUAUUAUCAUGACAUAUGGCUAUUGCGAAGGAAGGAUGACAAUCAUGACAUGAAAGAGCAAAGAGGAACAUCAGUCAUUGGUUAGGAAUAAAGAGUUCAGCGUUGAUGGGAGUGAAUUAUUAGCCAUGACGAAGACUGAUGCUGUUUUUAGUUACCAUAGUUUCAACCUCAACGUUUAUGACACAAAAGCUUUAACCUCGAAAACGCUUGUGAAUUUUGAAGAGCGAUUUUGUAGAAUAUAUCCUCACCAGAACACCUUGGUUUCGUUGAAAGAAUUAGGAGAAGAAGAUACAAAGAUAAUGGAGUCAGUUGAAGGAGAUAGAAGGUUUCAUCUUGAAAUUGAAUAACAAGGGACCUUUCUGUGAACCUGCUACUGUCAGAAAGUUUUUAUAUUACAAAGGUUUCAUCUUGAAAUUGAAUAACAAGGGACCUUUCUGUGAACCUGCUGCUGUCAGAAAAUUGAAUACCAAUAUAUUCCAGCAAGAGGGUUGAAGGAGCUCUGAAGCACUGGUGCUUUAUGUUGGUCCUUGUUUCUAUCCUUUUGCAAUUGUGCAGUGCACUUGAUGAAGAGUUUGAUGUCCAUCAUAGACUGUGUUCCUGUUUGAAGAUACGCAUUCAACAAAACUCUCUAGUUUCAACUUCCAAGAGUAUGCAGUGUUUGGGAAUAAGCAUGUAGUUUAUCAAGCUUGAAUCUCUUUUUGUCUUUCUGGAAUUUGCUCGCAUGAUGAGGCUAUGGCACAAGCUGAGUCAAUUUUAGCUUGGCUGCUUUAAAAGUGAGGUUUAGCAAUUUUCACCAUAUGGCAAAUGAUCGACUCGUGUGAUGUUGCUAUGGCACCAUUUGUUUUGACAGCCAAAUUUCGCAGCCUGCUACUUGAUCUUUUUAUGCCCAAUUUCCCUCAUUUUUUAUUUUAUUUUAUUAUUAUUAUUUUAUUUUAUUUGUUUUGCAGAGCAUUUCAUACUUCUGAUUUUACUCGUGAUUUUUUAUUGUUUGGAGGUGAUGGUGGAUCAUACUUAUCAUGCUCGCCUUCUAAACUUCCUAUGUUUAAAGAAGGGUUGGACUUGGUGCCGUUCUUGUCAGGAUGGAUGCUGGGUCAAUGUGCUCACCUGGAUUCUCCUGCCAUUUAGCUUAUCAGGUUACACAUAUUGUGGCCGCACACAGAUUAUCGGUGUUGAUGGUAAGCGCAAGAUGGAAAUAAGAGUUGAGGCUGGCUACUUGUUCAUUGUUCCAAGAGUACUAAUACUGAAAUCUUCUUCCCUGCACCAAACUAAGAAGACUAUGAGGAUUUCCUCUCAUCUCCUACAAUCUUUCUUUAGUUUUAAUUAGUGUUUACAAAUUUUAAGAUCGAGUUUUGUUCGAUCAUACAAACCCUUUA